rnacentral:rRNA from 1 species
CCUUGCCAGCCCGCUCAGAACUCAAAGGAAUUGACGGGGCCCGCACAAGCGGUGGAGCAUGUGGUUUAAUUCGAUGAUACGCGAGGAACCUUACCUGGGCUCAAAUGUAUGUUGACGUAUUCUGAAAGGGAUACUUCUUCGGACAAUAUACAAGGUGCUGCAUGGUUGUCGUCAGCUCGUGCCGUGAGGUGUCGGGUUAAGUCCCAUAACGAGCGCAACCCCUAUCAUUAGUUGCCAUCAGGUCAAGCUGGGGACUCUAAUGAAACUGCCUACGCAAGUAGUGAGGAAGGUGGGGAUGACGUCAAAUCAGCACGGCCCUUACGUCCGGGGCGACACACGUGUUACAAUGGGUGGUACAAAGGGCAGCUACCUGGCGACAGGAUGCUAAUCUCGAAAACCGCUCUCAGUUCGGAUCGGAGUCUGCAACUCGACUCCGUGAAGCUGGAUUCGCUAGUAAUCGCGCAUCAGCCACGGCGCGGUGAAUACGUUCCCGGGCCUU